rnacentral:rRNA from 1 species
UACAGAGGGUGCGAGCGUUGUCCGGAAUCACUGGGCGUAAAGGGCGCGUAGGUGGUGGCUUAAGCGUGCGGUGAAAGCUCGGGGCUCAACCCCGAGUCGGCCGUGCGAACUGGGCUCACUGGAGCAUAGUAGAGGCAGGUGGAAUUCCGGGUGUAGCGGUGGAAUGCGUAGAGAUCCGGAAGAACACCGGUGGCGAAGGCGGUUCUCUGGGCCUUACCUGACACUGAGGAGCGAAAGCGUGGGGAGCGGAAACGAGGAUUAGG